AUGAUCAAACGAGGGAAAUGGGUUUUAACCACUGGGUACAUCUCAAGUCUCUUGUAUGAUCAUUC
rnacentral:pre_miRNA from 1 species